rnacentral:rRNA from 1 species
GACGAACGCUGGCGGCGUGCCUAACACAUGCAAGUCGAGCGAGUGAAUCUCCUUCGGGAGUGAAGCUAGCGGCGGACGGGUGAGUAACACGUGGGCAACCUGCCUCAUAGAGGGGAAUAGCCUUUCGAAAGGAAGAUUAAUACCGCAUAAGAUUGUAGCUUCGCAUGAAGUAGCAAUUAAAGGAGCAAUCCGCUAUGAGAUGGGCCCGCGGCGCAUUAGCUAGUUGGUGAGGUAACGGCUCACCAAGGCGACGAUGCGUAGCCGACCUGAGAGGGUGAUCGGCCACAUUGGGACUGAGACACGGCCCAGACUCCUACGGGAGGCAGCAGUGGGGAAUAUUGCACAAUGGGGGAAACCCUGAUGCAGCAACGCCGCGUGAGUGAUGACGGCCCUCGGGUUGUAGAGCUCUGUCUUCAGGGACGAUAAUGACGGUACCUGAGGAGGAAGCCACGGCUAACUACGUGCCAGCCGCCGCGGUAA